UCCUGGGAUAGCUCAGUUGGUAAAGCAUGAGACUCUUAAUAUUAGGGUUAUAUGUUCGAGCCCCACGUUGGGCA